rnacentral:siRNA from 1 species
UCAAUGAGUGUACUACUAGUA